UUUAGCAAGGAGAUUGUGGGAAUGAGCACGGGGGAAGAGCUUUCCCGUCUCCGUCAGUACACUUUCAUUUCCCCCCGUUUCCCUUCGCCAUAGGUCCGCAAGGUUUGAGGAACCGCGGGUCAGCUUUCGCAGUCACAGGACUCCUCGAGUGACCUCCUGCAGACGAAGCCUCGCUCCCCACAUUUACGGCGUUUUGCGCUUCCGGCAGGGUCGAUCUGAUCCCACGACCACAGGGCCCGCUGGGAGAGGUGGCCGCUGGCAGCCUGGCCGCGGCACGCAGGAGGUCGCCUCGCUGUGUGUCGUCUUCGCGCCACGCUCCGGCAGCCCCCGAGAAACAGCUGGCUUUGAACUGGAGACGUUAUAGCUGGUACACACGUCCACCCACCCACCCACGUCCGUGCACACACAGCCCGGCAGGCAAGAAACCCAGCCCCGAACAUGCAGCCGGGAUGAGCCAGGGCGCUGCUACCUGCCCUACUGCAGCCCCCGUGACAUGGUCCAUUACUUACACGGCUCUGCACGGAGGUCUGAGCUGCAAACAUGGGCUUUGGAGCCAAAGGAGGAGUGGUACCAUUUUACCAUCCAUUGCACCAAUCCAUCAAUCCCAAAAGAAAGUUCCUGGAGGAACAGGGAUGAACAGGAGGAAAUGUCCUUUUCCUGGACAUUUAAUGUUCUGCGACACCAGCUACGAGGUCGAAAGCAAACAAAUAUCCCUCUCAGGAGGCUCCAAGCUCUAGGCUGGGACCUGAGAACAGUGUGUUUGGAGAGCCUGAUUAUGCACUGGGGAGAUGAAGGAUAA
rnacentral:lncRNA from 1 species